rnacentral:lncRNA from 12 species
AUUCAGUUUCACCCAGACAAUAUAUGUGCUCAGUUGUGUGACUGUUCAGUUGAGCUUGAGACCUCAUGCUACAUUUGUAGCCAAUCACUGACCUCCUC